GGUGAGAUGGCCGAGUUGGUAAGUCAUACGAACCCCAUGUGUUCACUUCAAUGUACUAAUAGUCCUAGGUUAUGGCGCCAGGUUAAGGUUCUCUUAACACUAAUUCCUGGUCACGUAAGUGGCGUGGGUUCGAGUCCCACUCUCAUCA